ACGAACGCUGGCGGCGUGCUUAACACAUGCAAGUCGAACGGAGUCCAUCUGUUAGCAAUAACAGGGAAGACUGAGUGGCGAACGGGUGAGUAACACGUGAGAAACCUGUCCCGGUCUCUGGGAUAACAGUCGGAAACAACUGCUAAUACCGGAUGACGUCGGAGCAUCGCAUGGUGCGCUGACGAAAGGGUUACUGGAUCGGGAGGGUCUCGCGGCCUAUCAGCUAGUUGGUGGGGUAAUGGCCUACCAAGGCAUCGACGGGUAGCUGGUCUGAGAGGAUGAUCAGCCACACUGGGACUGAGACACGGCCCAGACUCCUACGGGAGGCAGCAGUGGGGAAUCUUGCGCAAUGGGCGAAAGCCUGACGCAGCAACGCCGCGUGCGGGAAGAAGGCCUUCGGGUUGUAAACCGCUUUCAGAAGGAACGAAACUGACGGUACUUUCAGAAGAAGGUGCGGCCAACUACGU
rnacentral:rRNA from 1 species